GUGCUGCUUCAGAAGCACAUAUACUAAAAUUGGAAUGAUACAAAGAAAAUUAGCAUGGCUCCCAUGCAAGAAUGACACGGAAAUUCAUGAUGUGCUUUAUAUUUUU